rnacentral:rRNA from 1 species
GCCAGACUCCUACGGGAGGCAGCAGUGAGGAAUAUUGGUCAAUGGGCGCGAGCCUGAACCAGCCAAGUCGCGUGAAGGAUGACGGCCCUACGGGUUGUAAACUUCUUUUGUCAGGGAGCAAUUGAGUCCACGUGUGGGCUUAGCGAGAGUACCUGAAGAAAAAGCAUCGGCUAACUCCGUGCCAGCAGCCGCGGUAAUACGGAGGAUGCGAGCGUUAUCCGGAUUUAUUGGGUUUAAAGGGUGCGCAGGCGGAGGUGCAAGUCAGCGGUCAAAUUGCGGGGCUCAACCCCGUACUGCCGUUGAAACUGCAUCCCUUGAGUGCGCGAGAAGUAUGCGGAAUGCGUGGUGUAGCGGUGAAAUGCAUAGAUAUCACGCAGAACUCCGAUUGCGAAGGCAGCAUACCGGCGCGCAACUGACGCUCAUGCACGAAAGCGUGGGUAUCGAACAGGAUUAGAUACCCGGGUAU